CUGACUGAGGACUCACAAUCCAGAACCUGAAGAUUGGAUCUUCUGAGAACAUAUGAGAAAGACUGCCCUUGCCAUCCACACUGCAGCAAGACUUUAAGACCUUGAACCUUGGGUUCAUAAUCUUACAAUCCCUGAGAAGGCUCUCUCCACACUCUUGAAACUUCAAAAUUUCCUUAAGGAUUUGGUACCUGGUUGGCAUUCAGCAUAUGUUUAAUAGAAACAAUAGAUGAGUGAAGGAAUGCAGAAAAGAGGAAGAGGAUCUGGCCAAAACAGGAUCUGAACAUGUUGAAUUUGAGAUGCUGUGAUACAUCCAUGAGAUGCCAUUAUGUCCGGAAUUGGUGGGUUCUUGGUCUUGCUGACUUCAAGAAUGAAGCUGGGACGUUGUGCCAUGUAAGAUGUGCCUUCCUUCACCUUCUGCCAUGAUUAUAAGUUUUCUGACGCCUCCCCAGCCGUGCAGAAAUGUGAGUCAAUUAAGCCUUCUUUUCUUUAUACAUUACCCAGUCUCAGGUAGUUCUUUAUAGCAGUGUGAAAAUUGACUAACACAGUUGGUCUCUAGCCUGAUGAUCAAUUAGUAGUGGAAAGGCAUUAUAAAUCAAAUAAUUAUGUCAUCUUUUUCUUCAUAAAACUUCUUGGCCAGGUGUGGUGGCUCAUGCUUGUAAUCUCAGCACUUUGGGAGGCCAAGGUGGGUGGAUAACCUGAGGUUAGGAGUUUGAGACCAGUCUGGCCAACAUGGAGAAACCCUGUCUUUACUAAAAAUACAAAAAAUUAGCUGGUCAUGGUGGCAGGCAUCUGUAAUCCUAGCUACUUGGGAGGCUGAGGCAGGAGAAUUGCUUGAACCUU
rnacentral:lncRNA from 1 species